GUCUACGGCCAUACCACCCUGAACACGCCCGAUCUCGUCUGAUCUCGGAACCUAAGCAGGGUUGGGCCUGGUUAGUACUUGGAUGGCAGAGUCAAAUGGAAAUGCUAGAUGUAACAAACA
rnacentral:rRNA from 1 species